GUGAGGAAUAUUGCGCAAUGGAGGCAACUCUGACGCAGCCAUGCCGCGUGCAGGAAGAAGGCGCUACGCGUUGUAAACUGCUUUUAACCGGGAAGAAACCCCAGGACGUGUCCUGGGUUGACGGUACCGGAGGAAUAAGCACCGGCUAACUUCGUGCCAGCAGCCGCGGUAAUACGAAGGGUGCAAGCGUUAUCCGGAUUCAUUGGGUUUAAAGGGUGCGUAGGCUGAGCGUUAAGUCAGUGGUGCAAUCCUGCAGCUUAACUGUAGACUUGCCAUUGAUACUGACGCGCUUGAGUGCGCUUGAAGUGGGCGGAAUGUGCCGUGUAGCGGUGAAAUGCUUAGAUAUGGCACAGAACACCAAUUGCGAAGGCAGCUCACUAAGACGAUACUGACGCUGAGGCACGAAAGCGUGGGGAUCGAACAGGAUUAGAUACCCCGGUAGUCC
rnacentral:rRNA from 1 species